rnacentral:snRNA from 1 species
AAACCAUAAAAAUUGAAAAGCAAGUUUGGUAUAUAAAGCAAAACCGCAUGCCUAUAAGAAUUUCUUUUAACCCCCCCUUAAUUAAUUAAACAAAACAUUAUUCUUUUCUUCUUAAAC